GAUGAACGCUGGCGGUAUGCUUAACACAUGCAAGUCGAACGGUACCUUCGGGUAUAGUGGCGGACGGGUGAGUAACGCGUGAGAAUCUAUCUUCAGGUCGGGGACAACAGUUAGAAAUGACUGCUAAUACCGGAUGUGCCGAAAGGUAAAAGAUUUAUUGCCUGAAAAAGAGCUCGCGUCAGAUUAGCUAGUAGGUGGUGUAAGAGACUACCUAGGCUUCGAUCUGUAGCUGGUCUGAGAGGACGAUCAGCCACACUGGAACUGAGACACGGUCCAGACUCCUACGGGAGGCAGCAGUGGGGAAUUUUCCGCAAUGGGCGAAAGCCUGACGGAGCAAUACCGCGUGAGGGACGAAGGCUCUUGGGUCGUAAACCUCUUUUCUCCAGGAAGAUUCAGACGGUACUUGAGGAAUAAGCAUCGGCUAACUCUGUG
rnacentral:rRNA from 1 species